GCCUCCGUGGUCUAGUUGGUCAUGACGCCGGUCUCAUAACCUCAGUAUGACGAGUAGAAUCACUGCUUGGCAAUCCGGAGGUCACCAGUUCGAACCUGGUCGGGGGCA